UGGGGAAUAUUGCACAAUGGGGGAAACCCUGAUGCAGCGACGCCGCGUGAACGAAGAAGGUAUUCGUAUCGUAAAGUUCUGUCCUAUGGGAAGAUAAUGACAGUACCAUAGAAGAAAGCUCCGGCUAAAUACGUGCCAGCAGCCGCGGUAAUACGUAUGGAGCGAGCGUUGUCCGGAAUUAUUGGGCGUAAAGGGUACGCAGGCGGUUUAAUAAGUCGAAUGUUAAAGAUCGGGGCUCAACCCCGCAAAGCAUUGGAAACUGAUAAACUUGAGUAGUGGAGAGGAAAGUGGAAUUCCUAGUGUAGUGGUGAAAUACGUAGAUAUUAGGAGGAAUACCAGUAGCGAAGGCGACUUUCUGGACACAAACUGACGCUGAAGUACGAAAGCGUGGGGAGCAAACAGG
rnacentral:rRNA from 1 species